rnacentral:misc_RNA from 1 species
GAUGAAGAACGUAGCGAAAUGCGAUAAGUAAUGUGAAUUGCAGAAUUCAGUGAAUCAUCGAAUCUUUGAACGCACAUUGCGCCCCCUGGUAUUCCGGGGGGCAUGCCUGUCCGAGCGUCAUUACAACCCUCAAGCUCAGCUUGGUAUUGGGCCCCGCCGCUCCGGCGGGCCCUAAAGUCAGUGGCGGUGCCGUCCGGCUCCGAGCGUAGUAAUUCUUCUCGCUCUGGAGGUCCGGUCGUGUGCUCGCCAGCAACCCCCAAUUUUUUUCAGGUUGACCUCGGAUCAGGUAGGGAUACCCGCUGAACUUAAGCAUAUCAAAAGCGGAGGA